UUCGGGAAAAAAACUCACGGACGGUGACAGCGAAACGGAUAACAGUCUUCAGUACCUGCUGGACUUUGAAGCUGUGGAUUCUGGGACUGUUAGAAAAGCUCCAACAAAAUGAGGAAGAGGAGGGGGAGAAACACAAUUAGGUUGAAUUACAAUUGGAUGGAAGGCGAGGACAAGGAGAAGGAAGCUUAGGAUGAGGAGGAAGAGAAGCAGCAGGAGCAUCUUUAGGGAUCCCUAUGAUGUCAUUGAGAGGCAGCGGCGAGAGGGGAGACCUCGGCUCAUCCAGCUGGAGAGCCUGACCAGGAGGAGUCGAACAUUAACUGAGCUCUUCCAGGGCACCCUGCAGACUCGGCUGCUGGCAUCGGCGAGGGAUGACGUGAACGCCAAACUGGAGUCCAUCACAGGUCAACUGCAGCUCCUUGUCUCAGAGUGGGAGGGAUUUGAAGCACAAAGGGAGGAACUUGUCAUUUGGUUGGCUGAUAUGGAUGUGAGGUUGACCAGCUGACAGGAAACACCAGUGAAAAACUGAAACAACUGCAGGUGUGGGCUUGUUUUGAUAUGACAUAUACAGGGAGUGCAGAAUUAUUAGGCAAGUUGUAUUUUUGAGGAAUAUUAUUAUUGAACAACAAGCAUGUUCUCAAUGAACC
ensembl:lncRNA